rnacentral:rRNA from 1 species
CCUACGGGUGGCAGCAGUGAGGAAUAUUGGUCAAUGGGAGGAAUCCUGAACCAGCCAUGCCGCGUGCAGGACGACGGCUCUACGAGUUGUAAACUGCUUUUGUACCGGGGUAAAAUGCUCUACGAGUAGGUUUUUGAAAGUACGGUACGAAUAAGGAUCGGCUAACUCCGGGCCAGCAGCCGCGGUAAUACGGAGGAUCCGAGCGUCAUCCGGAUUUAUUGGGUUUAAAGGGUGCGCAGGCGGAGGUGCAAGUCAGCGGUCAAAUUGCGGGGCUCAACCCCGUACUGCCGUUGAAACUGCAUCCCUUGAGUGCGAUAGAAGUAUGCGGAAUGCGUGGUGUAGCGGUGAAAUGCAUAGAUAUCACGCAGAACUCCGAUUGCGAAGGCAGCAUACCGGCGCGCAACUGACGCUCAUGCACGAAAGCGUGGGUAUCGAACAGGAUUAGAUACCCUUGUAGUC